UGAAAACCUAAUCAAACUUUUUAUUAAAUAUGAAGAUUCAGAGCAGAAUGGAGCUGAAUGGAUGCUGGGCAGAGGGUCAGUUUUACUUUAGUAGAGCAUCUUUUUGAUGUGCUGGUAAAGACACGACAUUUAUCAAAGAAUAAUUUUCCCAAAAAGGGGCAAAAUCAUGACUCUCAUAGAGAUAAAAUGAACAUGUGCUAAAGAUUUUAUUCGACUCAUUGAUUAAGUGACUGAACCAGACAUUGAACUUCACUUCCUCCUUGGAAGCUAGAUUUGGCCAUGUGAUUAGCUACAGUUAAUGUUUGUAAGUGGAAGCCUUAAAAGUUGAUGUGCAAUUUGCUACACUCCCUUCCCACUGCCAAAUGUUGGUGAAAACGUGUCAAGAUGAUGCCUCUGCCAGCUUGAGUCUUCAUACCCUUCUUCUGACUUGCUUUGGACAUGUAGUAUCAUGGAGAACUAGGAUUUCAAACUGGAUCAUUUUGAGGGUAAAAGGGACAACAGGCACAAUUUGACAAUGUAUGUUCAUCCUAGUGAAACUUGUAAUGUUAAGCCACUGAGACCUGGGGGUUGUUUUUUUACCGCAGCGUAACCUAGCCUAUCUUGAUUGAUAUAUAAAUGCAUGUAUAGAAAUGCUCAAUAACUCAUUCAUAGAAGUGCAACAAAUGACUCAUGUUGCACUAUAACUGUGUGAGGUUGGUAAGAAAAUGGAUUCUAACAUCUAGGCCUAAGGUGAGUCAGCUACAUGGACACUGACAAGUGAGUAACCUGCUGGGAUCAAGAGCUCUUGGCUUCCAAGUGAAGGCUCUUUUUCAGAUCUUUCCAAGGAAAUGUUACCAAGGAGCUACAUUCAGGACAAAAGCUGCUGACAUGAGAAAAGGGUUAGUAUAGCCCAGAAAGACUAGCCUCGGUCUUGUCUGUAUGACCGUAUAUGCUUAAGAGUAUGGCACCAAGUUUUUACCGUGGAGGAGCCUGAGCCAACCUACAGAAUGUUUGAUUUGACCAGCAGAGUAUUGUAGACAAAACAUGAAUUUGCAGCCCUUUCAGUUGAGGAAGCACUCUCAGCUUUGCCACUGCCCUUUGUUUCUUUCUGUCAUUUGAUCCUGCUCUUUUCCACUUCUUCACCUCAGUUGUAUUACCUGCCUGGCUUUUGAAGACAUUUGAGUUUGGACCUCUGCAGGGAACCAUUGUACCUGAGAUGGAAAGCACAGCAGCCCGCAUGGACAGAAACAGGGCACUUCACCUCUGCAGUGUUCCUUCCAUAACCCCAGUCUAAUCAUAAGCAAAAUAAUCAGACAAACCCAGAUUAGGAGACAUCCUACAGGAUACCUGGACAGCAUUCCUAAAGCCUGUCAGGGUCACAAAAAACAAGGAAAGACUGAAGACUGUCAUAGGCCAGAAGCAAAUGGAGAGACAUGGCAACUAAAUGCAAUGUAGUGUCCUGGAUCAGAUACUAGAAUAGUAAGUAACAGGUCAUCAAUAGGAACACUGGUGAAGUCUGAAGAAUGUCUGGAAUUUAGAUAACAGUUACGUACCAAUAAUGGGCUCUUAGUUUUGACAAAUGUACCAUGGUAAUGUAAGACAUUAACAAUGGGAGAAACUGGGUGAGGGG
rnacentral:lncRNA from 1 species